CUUCGGGUAUUGAGGAUGGCGGACGGGUGAGUAACGCGUAAGGAACUUGCCUCUUGGUCUGGGACAACUGUUGGAAACGACAGUUAAUACCGGAUAUUAUGAGAUUCUCGCAUGGGAAACUUAUGAAAGCUAUAUGCGCCAAGAGAGAGCCUUGCGUUCCAUUAGCUAGUUGGUGGGGUAACGGCCCACCAAGGCGACGAUGGAUAGCCGGCCUGAGAGGGUGAACGGCCACAAGGGGACUGAGACACGGCCCUUACUCCUACGGGAGGCAGCAGUGGGGAAUAUUGGACAAUGGGCCACAAGCCUGAUCCAGCAAUUCUGUGUGCACGAUGAAGGUCUUCGGAUUGUAAAGUGCUUUCAGUUGGGAAGAAGAAAGUGACGGUACCAACAGAAGAAGCGACGGCUAAAUACGUGCCAGCAGCCGCGGUAAUACGUAUGUCGCAAGCGUUAUCCGGAUUUAUUGGGCGUAAAGCGCGUCUAGGCGGAAAAAUAAGUCUGAUGUUAAAAUGCGGGGCUCAACUCCGUAUUGCGUUGGAAACUGUUUUUCUAGAGUACUGGAGAGGUGGGCGGAACUACAAGUGUAGAGGUGAAAUUCGUAGAUAUUUGUAGGAAUGCCGAUGGAGAAGUCAGCUCACUGGACAGAUACUGACGCUAAAGCGCGAAAGCGUGGGGAGCAAACAGGAUUAGAUACCCUGGUAGUCCACGCCGUAAACGAUGAUCACU
rnacentral:rRNA from 1 species